rnacentral:rRNA from 1 species
GAACGCUGGCGGCAGGCCUAACACAUGCAAGUCGAACGGUAACAGGAAGCAGCUUGCUGCUUCGCUGACGAGUGGCGGACGGGUGAGUAAUGUCUGGGAAGCUGCCUGAUGGAGGGGGAUAACUACUGGAAACGGUAGCUAAUACCGCAUAAUGUCGCAAGACCAAAGAGGGGGACCUUCGGGCCUCUUGCCAUCGGAUGUGCCCAGAUGGGAUUAGCUUGUUGGUGGGGUAACGGCUCACCAAGGCGACGAUCCCUAGCUGGUCUGAGAGGAUGACCAGCCACACUGGAACUGAGACACGGUCCAGACUCCUACGGGAGGCAGCAGUGGGGAAUAUUGCACAAUGGGCGCAAGCCUGAUGCAGCCAUGCCGCGUGUAUGAAGAAGGCCUUCGGGUUGUAAAGUACUUUCAGCGGGGAGGAAGGGAGUAAAGUUAAUACCUUUGCUCAUUGACGUUACCCGCAGAAGAAGCACCGGCUAACUCCGUG